GUGCCAGCCGCCGCGGUAAUACGGAGGGUGCGAGCGUUAUCCGGAAUUACUGGGUUUAAAGGGUGCGUAGGCGGCUAAGUAAGUCAGGAGUGAAAGUUUGCGGCUCAACCGUAAAAUUGCUUUUGAUACUGCAUAGCUAGAAUUAGGAUGAGGUCAGCGGAAUGUGGCAUGUAGCGGUGAAAUGCAUAGAUAUGCCAUAGAACACCAAUUGCGAAGGCAGCUGGCUAGACCUGGAUUGACGCUGAGGCACGAAAGCGUGGGGAGCGAACAGGAUUAGAAACCCCCGUAGUCC
rnacentral:rRNA from 1 species